rnacentral:rRNA from 1 species
GAGUUUGAUCAUGGCUCAGAACGUACGCUGGCGGCACGCCUAACACAUGCAAGUCGAACGAAGUAGCAAUACUUAGUGGCAGACGGGUGAGUAACAUGUAGGUAUCUACCCUAUGGUUUGGAAUAACACGAGGAAACUUGUGCUAAUACCAAAUAAGUCUUUACGGAGAAAGCUUUAUGCGCCAUUGGAUGAGCCUGCACUUGAUUAGUUUGUUGGUGGGGUAAUGGCCUACCAAGACAAUGAUCAAUAGCUGAUUUGAGAGGAUGAUCAGC